rnacentral:pre_miRNA from 1 species
AGAGUGCACAUUCAUUAUCCUUAGGGUCAUGGGAUAAACAAAUACCUACAAAACCAAGUUAGCACACCCUAGAAUGGUUGUAGCAUGAUUGCUAACCUAUGGAUUUGAUACCAAUCAAUGGGAAAAACUU